rnacentral:rRNA from 1 species
UUGACACCUCGUCGGUCUGACCUGCCCACUGAAUUUUAAAUGGCCGCAGUAUAUUAACUGUGCAAAGGUAGCAUAAUCAUUAGUCUUUUAAUUGAAGGCUGGAAUGAAUGGUUGGACGAAAUAUUAACUGUUUCAAAUAAAUUUUUUAUAGAAUUUUAUUUUUUAGUCAAAAAGCUAAAAUAUAUUUAAAAGACGAGAAGACCCUAUAAAUCUUUAUAAUUUAUUUAUUAUAAUAAUUAAGAAUAAUUUUUUUAUAAUAAAUUAAAUUAUUUUAUUGGGGUGAUAUUAAAAUUUAAUGAACUUUUAAUUAGUUAAAUCAUUAAUUUAUGAAUUUUUGAUCCAAUUUUAUUGAUUAUAAAUUUAAGUUACUUUAGGGAUAACAGCGUAAUUUUUUUGGAGAGUUCAUAUCGAUAAAAAAGAUUGCGACCUCGAUGUUGGAUUAAGAGAUAAAUUUGGGUGUAGCCGUUCAAAUAAUUAAGUCUGUUCGACUUUUAAAUUCUUACGUGAUCUGAGUUCAGACCGGA